AGUCACUGACAUUAGAUACCCGGGUAGUCCCAGCCGUAAACAAUGUGCGUUAGGUGUGUCGGUAACCACGCGUUACUGAUGCGCCGAAGAGAAAUCGUGAAACGCACCACCUGGGAAGUACGGUCGCAAGGCUGAAACUUAAAGGAAUUGGCGGGGGAGCACCACAACAGGUGGAGCCUGCGGUUUAAUUGGAUUCAACGCCGGACAUCUCACCGGAUAAGACAGCUGAAUGAUUGUCAAUCUGAAGGUUUUACAUGACUAGCUG
rnacentral:rRNA from 1 species